rnacentral:rRNA from 1 species
GAUGAACGCUGGCGGCGUGCCUAAUACAUGCAAGUCGAGCGAACAGACGAGGAGCUUGCUCCUCUGACGUUAGCGGCGGACGGGUGAGUAACACGUGGAUAACCUACCUAUAAGACUGGGAUAACUUCGGGAAACCGGAGCUAAUACCGGAUAAUAUAUUGAACCGCAUGGUUCAAUAGUGAAAGACGGUUUUGCUGUCACUUAUAGGUGGAUCCGCGCCGCAUUAGCUAGUUGGUAAGGUAACGGCUUACCAAGGCAACGAUGCGUAGCCGACCUGAGAGGGUGAUCGGCCACACUGGAACUGAGACACGGUCCAGACUCCUACGGGAGGCAGCAGUAGGGAAUCUUCCGCAAUGGGCGAAAGCCUGACGGAGCAACGCCGCGUGAGUGAUGAAGGUCUUCGGAUCGUAAAACUCUGUUAUUAGGGAAGAACAAAUGUGUAAGUAACUAUGCACGUCUUGACGGUACCACUAGAGAAAGCACCGGCAAACUUCGUGCCAGCCGCCGCCGUAA